UGGAACAGAGCUUGCUUCCCACAACUCUAGUCACCUUAUAUUUUCAUGAAAUGUUUUGAUCUUUGCCAAUCUGUGACGUGAAUUGACAUCACGUGUCUCCAGGAUGACACAGUGGGAAGGACUCAGCCUCUCCUCCGUGAUAUUCCUGCCCAAAGUGCAUGACUGAACCUAUUCAUGAGGGAACAGCUGAGCUGUGCCAGAGAUCUGCGGAAUGGAUGGACGAAGACCCAGGCC